rnacentral:misc_RNA from 1 species
CGCAGCCGCGGUAAUUCCAGCUCCAAUAGCGUAUAUUAAAGUUGUUGCAGUUAAAAAGCUCGUAGUUGAAUUUCGGGAUCAAUUAAUCGGUCGUGCCUCUGGUACGCACUGGUUUUAUUGGUUUCUCCCUUCUGACGAACCAGGAUGUCAUUAAUUUGGUGUCUUGGAGAAUCAGGACUGUUACUUUGAAAAAAUUAGAGUGUUUAAAGCAGGCUAACGCUUGAAUACAUUAGCAUGGAAUAAUGAAAUAGGACGUUUGAUCCUAUUUUGUUGGUUUCUAGGAUCGACGUAAUGAUUAAUAGGGAUAGUUGGGGGCAUUAGUAUUCAAUUGUCAGAGGUGAAAUUCUUGGAUUUAUUGAAGACUAACUACUGCGAAAGCAUUUGCCAAGGAUGUUUUCAUUAAUCAAGAACGAAAGUUAGGGGAUCGAAGACGAUCAGAUACCGUCGUAGUCUUAACCAUAAACUAUGCCGACUAGGGAUCGGAUGAUGUUAAUUUUUUAAUGACUCAUUCGGCGCCUUA